ACCAUGAGGCAUUAAUCUAAUGCUGCUAAAAUCCUGCCCAACCAUGAGGCAUCUCUAGACCAAUGUCCAUGAAAUCAGCGAAGAUUCAAGUCAGACCCAUAAGUUGGUCCGAGCCCCCUGUUGGUCAAGCUCUAAACUGAAGAUGAAGUAGUCGUCUGUCAUUGUACUCAUGUUGAGGAUGCCGAUCCUAUUCUCCAACCUAAAAUAAAAAAGAAUAUCCACUUGCUAGAAUUUGUCUGACAGGAGGCUCUUCGAUAUCGAAGUUAGGCAAGGAUCUUAGAGAAACAAUUAAGACUUGAGAAAGAGAAAUGGUAGCAUGAGUGUAGAGAAUGUCAAGAGAACAUACCUGGAGAUUUCUUAAGUACUAUUUAUAUAGGCAGCAAAACUGAGUAAGGCAGUCAUGCACUCUAAUUACUCAAUGACUAUCUGCAGUUGGUGCUAAUGCAUUAUGUCUGCACAUUGUGCUUGUUGUGCAUGAUCAUGGGCCAAGCUAUAAUAGGUGGUUAUUAGAGAGAAUUUAAAUGACGUUGUGAUAAUUUUUAAUGAGGGCUAUGUGGCAAACUUUUACUGAUUGGUGCAUCCAUGUUGGUAGAGGUGGGUUCCAAGGCAUAUCAUCCAAAAUCCACUGGAGUUGCAUAGAAUCG
rnacentral:lncRNA from 1 species